CAGCCCCUCGAGUGGUGGGGAUGAUUAUUUGGCCUAAAGCGUCCGUAGCCGGCUCUGUAAAUCUCUCGUUAAAUCCAGCGUCCUAAGCGUUGGGCUGCGAGGGAGACUGCCGAGCUAGAGGGUGAGAGAGGUCAGCGGUAUUCCUGGGGUAGGGGCGAAAUCCAUUGAUCCCAGGAGGACCACCAGUGGCGAAGGCUGCUGACUAGAACACGCCUGACGGUGAGGGACGAAAGCUGGGGUAGCGAAUCGGAUUAGAUACCCGAGUAGUCC
rnacentral:rRNA from 1 species